UACGAAGGGGGCGAGCGUUGUUCGGAUUUACUGGGCGUAAAGGGCGCGCAGGCGGCUACAUUUGUCAGGCGUGAAAGCCCGGGCUUAACCUGGGAACUGCGUUUGAUACGGUGUGGCUAGAGUUCGGGAGAGGAGAGUGGAAUUCCCAGUGUAGAGGUGAAAUUCGUAGAUAUUGGGAAGAACACCGGUGGCGAAGGCGGCUCUCUGGACCGAGACUGACGCUGAGGCGCGAAAGCGUGGGGAGCAAACA
rnacentral:rRNA from 1 species